rnacentral:misc_RNA from 1 species
GCUGGUUGAUGGUUCAAGA